rnacentral:rRNA from 1 species
AGUGAACGCUGGCGGUAGGCCUAACACAUGCAAGUCGAACGGCAGCACAGUAAGAGCUUGCUCUUACGGGUGGCGAGUGGCGGACGAGUGAGGAAUACAUCGGAAUCUACUUUUUCGUGGGGGAUAACGUAGGGAAACUUACGCUAAUACCGCAUACGACCUACGGGUGAAAGCAGGGGAUCUUCGGACCUUGCGCGAUUGAAUGAGCCGAUGUCGGAUUAGCUAGUUGGCGGGGUAAAGGCCCACCAAGGCGACGAUCCGUAGCUGGUCUGAGAGGAUGAUCAGCCACACUGGAACUGAGACACGGUCCAGACUCCUACGGGAGGCAGCAGUGGGGAAUAUUGGACAAUGGGCGCAAGCCUGAUCCAGCCAUACCGCGUGGGUGAAGAAGGCCUUCGGGUUGUAAAGCCCUUUUGUUGGAAAGAAAAGCAGCAGGUUAAUACCCCGCUGUUCUGACGGUACCCAAAGAAUAAGCACCGGCUAACUUCGUG